rnacentral:piRNA from 1 species
CCCAGGUAGAGGUAGAUGCCAUACAUUUGA